UGGGGAAUAUUGCACAAUGGGCGCAAGCCUGAUGCAGCCAUGCCGCGUGUGUGAAGAAGGCCUUCGGGUUGUAAAGCACUUUCAGCGGGGAGGAGGGCGAUAAGGUUAUUAACCUUGUGGAUUGACGUACCCCGCAGAAGAAGCACCGGCAAACCCCGUGCCAGCAGCCGCGGUAAUACGGAGGGUGCAAGCGUUAACCGGAAUUACUGGGCGUAAAGCGCACGCAGGCGGUCUGUCAAGUCGGAUGUGAAAUCCCCGGGCUCAACCUGGGAACUGCAUUCGAAACUGGCAGGCUAGAGGCUUGUAGAGGGGGGUAGAAUUCCAGGUGUAGCGGUGAAAUGCGUAGAGAUCUGGAGGAAUACCGGUGGCGAAGGCGGCCCCCUGGACAAAGACUGACGCUCAGGUGCGAAAGCGUGGGGAGCAAACAGG
rnacentral:rRNA from 1 species